GAGGGUAUAGCUCAAGUGGUAGACAGCAUGUUUAGCAUGCAUGAGGUCCUGGGUUCAAUCCCCAGUACCUCCU
rfam:Camelus ferus unplaced genomic scaffold scaffold25522, whole genome shotgun sequence.